rnacentral:tRNA from 1 species
GCCUCGGUAGUGUAAUGGUCAAGACGCUUGCCUGGUGAGCAGGAGGGUGUGGGUUCAAUCCCAGUUCAGGCA